UUGAACCUCCUCCUUUCUCUAUUUUUCAAAUUUUGAGACUCACCAUUUUUUCUUCUACAUUUUUUGACAGGUACGAUUUUUUUCUCAACACACCAUUGGGUUCUUUAUUCACGGGUUCUUAGCUCAAAGGUAUAAUCUUUCCUUUUAAGCUUAUUCAUAUUUGCAAGUUUGUUUGUCUUCAUUUUGUGCAUUUUACUCUGCAUCUUCUAAUCACACGUUUUUUUCAUCUUCAUCACACUUUCAAUGUUUCUUAUAUCUUCAUCACACGUUUUUUCUCUCUUCCUUUCCAUUUUACACAAAAAAAAAUGAUUAACCGGGUGGAUAGUCUUUAUCCGAAGUUUGAAUCUUUGUAUAAGAAAGUUGGAAAUUUUGAUGUCAUAAAAGAAAGUUUUAAUUUUUAUAGAAAAAUGUUUGUAUCUUUAUAGAAGAAAGUUGGAAUUUUGAAUAAUAUUGAAGAAAGUUAGAAUCUUUACAGAAGAAGAUUGUAAAAGAAAGUCGAAAUUUUUUAUAUUAUAGAUGAAACUUGGAAUUUUUUAUUUUAUAGAAGAAAGUUGAAAUCUUCAAAUAAGAAAGUCUAAAUCUUUACUGAAUCUUUGGGAGCUUAUAUGUUGUUGGUGACCCUCACUUUCGUUUCCAUCUUGAUAAAUCUUUACUUCAUUAUUAAUCUAAAUAAUGAACCUGAUCAUCUACUUGGAAU
rnacentral:lncRNA from 1 species